rnacentral:lncRNA from 1 species
GAUUGUCUAAAUGCCUUUGACAAUUGUGAUAUGCAAAUGUAAGAGUGGGUUACCUCCUAAUGUGCCAGGAAUAAUCAGAAUUUAUAUAUUCGUAGAAGGGUAACCCACUUAUAGCCCUAAUAAACAAGCUUCCAACAAUGAUAAUCUUACAUUUGCAUAUCACAAUUGUCAAAGGCAUUUAGACAAUCAUAUGGUCAACCUUUUCUCAUGCUUCUAAUCUCAAUUACCAAAAGAAAUGAAUGGGAUCAACGCAUUUUUUUUAUGAUCAAGUAGAGCCUCAAGCCAAGUUCAACAAUUUCAGGCCACCUUUAAUAGUGAUAUAUGAAAAUAGAAAUUAACAAUGGUUACAAAAUCUAUCAAACAACAUAAUAAAAAUAGCAUUGAUGCAAAUUAAAAUUAAAAAUGACAGUACUCACCUCAAUUUAUAAUCUCACUUUAGUAAAUGCGAAAUCAGAUUAUGAGCUAGGAAUAAUCAGAAUUUAUAUAUUCGUAGAAGGGUAACCCACUUAUAGCCCUAAUAAACAAGCUUCCAACAAUGAUAAUCUUACAUUUGCAUAUCACAAUUGUCAAAGGCAUUUAGACAAUUAUAUGGUCAACCUUUUCUCAUGCUUCUAAUCUCAAUUACCAAAAGAAAUGAAUGGGAUCAACGCAUUUUUUUUUUAUGAUCAAGUAGAGCCUCAAGCCAAGUUCAACAAUUUCAAGCCACCUUUAAUAGUGAUAUAGGAAAAUAGAAAUUAACAAUGGUUACAAAAUCUAUCAAACAACAUAAUAAAAAUAGCAUUGAUGCAAAUUAAAAUUAAAAAUGACAGUACUCACCUCAAUUUAUAAUCUCACUUUAGU